AGGAUACAGUUGAUAUAUUAGUUGGAUGGCAUAUAGAUCAUACUCAGAAACCUUCGCUCACGCAGCAGGUAUCUGGGUGGUUGCAGAGUUUGGAGCCAUUUUGGGUAGCUGAUCUUGCAUUUUCUACGACUCUUCUUGGUCAUUUUCUAGAAGACAUGGAAGCAUAUGCUGAGGACCUCAGCCAUGUGGCCUCUGGGGAAUCAGUGGAUGAAGACGUCCCUCCUCCAUCAGUGUCAUUACCAAAGCUGACUGCGCUUCUCCGGGUAUUUAGUACUGUGGUGAGGAGCAUUGGGGAACGCUUCAGCCCAAUUCGGGUCCUCCGAUUACUGAGGCAUACGUAACAGAUAUUCUGUACAGAGUAAUGAGAUGUGUGACGGCUGCAAACCAGGUGUUUUUUUCUGAGGCUGUGUUGACAGCUGCUAAUGAGUGUGUUGGUGUUUUGCUCGGCAGCUUGGAUCCUAGCAUGACUAUACAUUGUGACAUGGUCAUUACAUAUGGAUUAGACCAACUGGAGAAUUGCCAGACUUGUGGUACCGAUUAUAUCAUCUCAGUCUUGAAUUUACUCAUGCUGAUGUGGGCGCUAUCUCCAACUGUCUUUGCACUUCUGAGUAAGAAUCUGAUGAUUGUGCACAGUGACCUGGCUGUUCACUUCCCUACCAUUCAGUAUGCUGUGCUCUACACUUUGUAUUCUCAUUGUACCAGGCAUGAUCACUUUAUCUCUAGUAGCCUCAGUUCUUCCUCUCCUCCUUUGUUUGAUGGAGCUGUGAUUAGCACUGUAACUACGGCCACAAAGAAACAUUUCUCAAUUAUGUUAAAUCUUCUGGGAAUAUUACUUAAGAAAGAUAACCUUAACCAGGACACGAGGAAACUGUUAAUGACUUGGGCUUUGGAAGUAGCUGUUUUAAUGAAGAAGUCCGAAACAUAUGCACCUUUAUUCUGUCUUCCGUCUUUCCAUAAAUUUUGCAAAGGCCUUUUAGCCAACACUCUCGUUGAAGAUGUGAAUAUCUGUCUGCAGGCAUGCAGCAGUCUACACGCUCUGUCCUCUUCCUUGCCAGAUGAUCUUUUACAGAGAUGUGUUGAUGUUUGCCGUGUUCAACUAGUGCACCGUGGAACUCGUAUUCGACAAGCAUUUGGAAAACUGUUGAAAUCAAUUCCUUUAGAUGUUGUCCUAAGCAAUAACAAUCACACAGAAAUUCAAGAAAUUUCUUUAGCAUUAAGAAGUCACAUGAGUAAAGCACCAAGUAAUACAUUCCACCCCCAAGAUUUCUCUGAUGUUAUUAGUUUUAUUUUGUAUGGGAACUCUCAUAGAACAGGGAAGGACAAUUGGUUGGAAAGACUGUUCUAUAGCUGCCAGAGACUGGAUAAGUGUGACCAGUCAACAAUUCCACGCAAUCUCCUGAAGACAGAUGCUAUCUUUUGGCAGUGGGCCAUAUGGGAAGCUGCACAAUUCACUGUUCUUUCUAAGCUGAGAACCCCACUGGGCAGAGCUCAAGACACCUUCCAGACAAUUGAAGGUAUCAUUCGAAGUCUCGCAGCUCACACAUUAAACCCUGAUCAGGAUGUUAGUCAGUGGACAACUGCAGACAAUGAUGAAGGCCAUGGUCAUUAGAGCUUUUUUCUAUACCAGUUGCCAAACUUGUCAGGACUGGCUAACGCGGAUUCGACUCUCCAUCAUGAGGGUAGGAUUGUUGGCAGGCCAGCCUGCAGUGACAGUGAGACAUGGCUUUGACUUGCUUACAGAGAUGAAAACAACCAGCCUAUCUCAGGGGAAUGAAUUGGAAAUAACCAUUAUGAUGGUGGUAGAAGCACUAUGUGAACUUCAUUGUCCUGAAGCUAUACAGGGAAUUGCUGUCUG
ensembl:lncRNA novel transcript